rnacentral:rRNA from 1 species
GUAGUCCUAGCCGUAAACGGUGCACGUUUGCUGUAAAAGGAAUCGACCCCUUUUGUGGCGUAGCCAACGCGUUAAACGUGCCGCCUGGGAAGUACGGUCGCAAGAUUAAAACUCAAAGAAAUUGACGGGGGCCUGCACAAGCGGUGGAGCAUGUGGUUUAAUUCGAUGAUACGCGAGGAACCUUACCUGGGCUUGACUUGCCAGGAUUACCUCCGUGAAAGCGGAGUAGGCCCUUCGGGGGUACAACUGGUACAGGUGCUGCAUGGCUGUCGCCAGCUCGUGUCGUGAGAUGUCGGGUUAAG